CCUACGGGUGGCAGCAGUGGGGAAUAUUGGACAAUGGGCGAAAGCCUGAUCCAGCCAUGCCGCGUGUGUGAAGAAGGCCUUCGGGUUGUAAAGCACUUUCAGUGGGGAAGAAAGCCUUGGGGCUAAUACCCUCGAGGAAGGACAUCACCCACAGAAGAAGCACCGGCUAACUCCGUGCCAGCAGCCGCGGUAAUACGGAGGGUGCGAGCGUUAAUCGGAAUUACUGGGCGUAAAGCGCGCGUAGGCGGUCUGAUAAGCCGGUUGUGAAAGCCCCGGGCUCAACCUGGGAACGGCAUCCGGAACUGUCAGGCUAGAGUGAAGGAGAGGAAGGUAGAAUUCCCGGUGUAGCGGUGAAAUGCGUAGAGAUCGGGAGGAAUACCAGUGGCGAAGGCGGCCUUCUGGACUGACACUGACGCUGAGGUGCGAAAGCGUGGGUAGCAAACAGGAUUAGAUACCCUGGUAGUC
rnacentral:rRNA from 1 species